CCGAUUCCCAGCUCCGCGCCACGCGGACCCACCGAGCUCGCGCUCAGACGCCCCAGCUCCGCCGAGAGGCCGCUCGCGCCGGGUCCUUCCUCUUCCCCAAGUGCAGGCCGAGCCUCCGCAGCCACGGCCAGCCCUUCGGGCAGCUCCAAAGCCACUGGCAAGCCCCGAGGCAGGGAUGGCCGGCCCAGGAGGGAGGAGGACGACGUCCCUCCCUAGGAGAAGAACUGCGGCUGUUGCUGGAGGGGGGAAGCGCACAGCCCGACGACUGCGAGGACGGGGAGGACGCGCUGAGGUCAGGCAGGGAGGAGACCGGCACCCAGACAGGUGGCGACGGCAGAGGAAUAACCUUCACUCUUCUCUGCAACGAAUCCCAAAAGUGUGUAGUUGAGCUGACUGCAAGGUGCUUG
rnacentral:lncRNA from 1 species